GGUUAAGCGACUAAGCGUACACGGUGGAUGCCCUGGCAGUCAGAGGCGAUGAAGGACGUGCUAAUCUGCGAAAAGCGUCGGUAAGGUGAUAUGAACCGUUAUAACCGGCGAUGUCCGAAUGGGGAAACCCAGUGCAAUUCGUUGCACUAUCGUUAACUGAAUACAUAGGUUAACGAGGCGAACCGGGGGAACUGAAACAUCUAAGUACCCCGAGGAAAAGAAAUCAACCGAGAUUCCCCCAGUAGCGGCGAGCGAACGGGGAGCAGCCCAGAGUCUGAAUCAGCUUGUGUGUUAGUGGAACGGUCUGGAAAGUCCGACGGUACAGGGUGAUAGUCCCGUACACCAAAAUGCACAGGUUGUGAACUCGAAGAGUAGGGCGGGACACGUGGUAUCCUGUCUGAAUAUGGGGGGACCAUCCUCCAAGGCUAAAUACUCCUGACUGACCGAUAGUGAACCAGUACCGUGAGGGAAAGGCGAAAAGAACCCCGGCGAGGGGAGUGAAAAAGAACCUGAAACCGUGUACGUACAAGCAGUGGGAGCACCUUCGGGUGUGACUGCGUACCUUUUGUAUAAUGGGUCAGCGACUUAUAUUCUGUAGCAAGGUUAACCGUAUAGGGGAGCCGCAGGGAAACCGAGUCUUAACUGGGCGUUAAGUUGCAGGGUAUAGACCCGAAACCCGGUGAUCUAGCCAUGGGCAGGUUGAAGGUUGGGUAACACUAACUGGAGGACCGAACCGACUAAUGUUGAAAAAUUAGCGGAUGACUUGUGGCUGGGGGUGAAAGGCCAAUCAAACCGGGAGAUAGCUGGUUCUCCCCGAAAGCUAUUUAGGUAGCGCCUCGUGAAUUCAUCUUCGGGGGUAGAGCACUGUUUCGGCUAGGGGGUCAUCCCGACUUACCAACCCGAUGCAAACUACGAAUACCGAAGAAUGUUAUCACGGGAGACACACGGCGGGUGCUAACGUCCGUCGUGAAGAGGGAAACAACCCAGACCGCCAGCUAAGGUCCCAAAGUCAUGGUUAAGUGGGAAACGAUGUGGGAAGGCACAGACAGCCAGGAUGUUGGCUUAGAAGCAGCCAUCAUUUAAAGAAAGCGUAAUAGCUCACUGGUCGAGUCGGCCUGCGCGGAAGAUGUAACGGGGCUAAACCAUGCACCGAAGCUGCGGCAGCGACACUAUGUGUUGUUGGGUAGGGGAGCGUUCUGUAAGCCUGCGAAGGUGUGCUGUGAGGCAUGCUGGAGGUAUCAGAAGUGCGAAUGCUGACAUAAGUAACGAUAAAGCGGGUGAAAAGCCCGCUCGCCGGAAGACCAAGGGUUCCUGUCCAACGUUAAUCGGGGCAGGGUGAGUCGACCCCUAAGGCGAGGCCGAAAGGCGUAGUCGAUGGGAAACAGGUUAAUAUUCCUGUACUUGGUGUUACUGCGAAGGGGGGACGGAGAAGGCUAUGUUAGCCGGGCGACGGUUGUCCCGGUUUAAGCAUGUAGGCUGGUUGUCCAGGCAAAUCCGGAUAAUCAAGGCUGAGGUGUGAUGACGAGGCACUACGGUGCUGAAGUAACAAAUGCCCUGCUUCCAGGAAAAGCCUCUAAGCAUCAGGUAACAUCAAAUCGUACCCCAAACCGACACAGGUGGUCAGGUAGAGAAUACCAAGGCGCUUGAGAGAACUCGGGUGAAGGAACUAGGCAAAAUGGUGCCGUAACUUCGGGAGAAGGCACGCUGGUGUGUAGGUGAAGCCCCUGCGGAUGGAGCUGAGACCAGUCGAAGAUACCAGCUGGCUGCAACUGUUUAUUAAAAACACAGCACUGUGCAAACACGAAAGUGGACGUAUACGGUGUGACGCCUGCCCGGUGCCGGAAGGUUAAUUGAUGGGGUUAUCCGUAAGGAGAAGCUCUUGAUCGAAGCCCCGGUAAACGGCGGCCGUAACUAUAACGGUCCUAAGGUAGCGAAAUUCCUUGUCGGGUAAGUUCCGACCUGCACGAAUGGCGUAAUGAUGGCCAGGCUGUCUCCACCCGAGACUCAGUGAAAUUGAACUCGCUGUGAAGAUGCAGUGUACCCGCGGCAAGACGGAAAGACCCCGUGAACCUUUACUAUAGCUUGACACUGAACAUUGAGCCUUGAUGUGUAGGAUAGGUGGGAGGCUUUGAAGCGUGGACGCCAGUCUGCGUGGAGCCAACCUUGAAAUACCACCCUUUAAUGUUUGAUGUUCUAACGUUGGCCCCUUACCGGGGUUGCGGACAGUGUCUGGUGGGUAGUUUGACUGGGGCGGUCUCCUCCCAAAGCGUAACGGAGGAGCACGAAGGUUAGCUAAUCCUGGUCGGACAUCAGGAGGUUAGUGCAAUGGCAUAAGCUAGCUUGACUGCGAGCGUGACGGCGCGAGCAGGUGCGAAAGCAGGUCAUAGUGAUCCGGUGGUUCUGAAUGGAAGGGCCAUCGCUCAACGGAUAAAAGGUACUCCGGGGAUAACAGGCUGAUACCGCCCAAGAGUUCAUAUCGACGGCGGUGUUUGGCACCUCGAUGUCGGCUCAUCACAUCCUGGGGCUGAAGUAGGUCCCAAGGGUAUGGCUGUUCGCCAUUUAAAGUGGUACGCGAGCUGGGUUUAGAACGUCGUGAGACAGUUCGGUCCCUAUCUGCCGUGGGCGCUGGAGAAUUGAGGGGGGCUGCUCCUAGUACGAGAGGACCGGAGUGGACGCAUCACUGGUGUUCGGGUUGUCAUGCCAAUGGCACUGCCCGGUAGCUAAAUGCGGAAGAGAUAAGUGCUGAAAGCAUCUAAGCACGAAACUUGCCCCGAGAUGAGUUCUCCCUGAGACUUUAAGUCUCCUGAAGGAACGUUAAAGACGAUGACGUUGAUAGGCCGGGUGUGUAAGCGCAGCGAUGCGUUGAGCUAACCGGUACUAAUGAACCGUGAGGCUUAACCUU
rnacentral:rRNA from 1 species